UUAACGACUACUUAAUUUUUCAUUUAACACACCGUUCUGGUCUACUGGACGAGAAAACCGGCCGUUUUCAGGAACCUGGGAGAACGAACUGUCGCGGAACCAUCGAUCCCCGACCUUUUCGUAGCUAUAGCAGUUUCGCGAAAAGAAGUUCCUUCUCGUUGGCACGCAGGAACGUUUCGCGGGCUCGCGCUCCGUGUCAUUUUCCGGAAACGGGAACGCGUUCCAAUGGCUCGAGAUCGAGUGAAAACGGUUCUGCUCGGGCAAGAAACACGGUCAACACGGUUGCAUAACAGCUCAGCUCCACCGUGAUCCAUUAAAAAGCCCAGGCAGUAAAAUUACUCCAAGAUAAAGUCUUUGGGAAUUAAUUUGAGGGAGAUACAGUCCAGACUUUUUCUCUUGCACAAUAUUUACAUGCGUCUCGAACAGUAAGGAGAUAUUUUGAUUUUCAAAAUUUCAGCUCAGGGGCUGUAGCAUGCGAAUAUGCAGCUACAGUACGGGCUUAGCGACACCGGGGUACCCUAGCUAGAUGGGGGCCAGUGGGUUCCAACAGGCGUGAACAAAAGACAAGACUAACGUUAAUGUAAUAUACAGAGUUACGAUAACGCGAACUAAGCUAAAAUUAAGGAGUUGUUUAAGGCAAAGUAAUGUCAAGAAGAAUAGAAAUAAUUCUAAAUUUCCACUAUUAUAGAAGAUUUUCCACUAUUUCUCGUCCCUUUUUGCCCCUCCCUGAUCGAAGCAAUCGCGCGGGGUAGUAGUUGUAUUCGCUGGGAAACAUAUUUCGAUACACGUCCGACAUACUCCGUUUCCGUUCCGUCGUCGCUAGGACGACCUAACGGCACUGCGUUAUUUACGUUGUUCCACCGGCAGCUCCGAGUCUAUCCGCGCAUAAAGCAACCGGUUCGUCGCUUAUUCCGCUCGUCGAUUUGUAUCUUCACGGUCGACGCUCAUUUCUGGUAGACUUCAGCGAACGGCCAUCAUGCUAAAUAGUGGCGCAGCGGUGAUAUCUGCCUGUGGUGUCACUAUUUCGCGAGCUCGCCGUGUGCUGAGGGGCUCCAGUGCUUGAUUAGGAGGGUACCAGAAAGAUAGGAGUUUCAGACGUCUCGCGUUCUCGACGAGUUCGAGAAACGUCAACGUCGUCGGCUAAAAUAAAUCAACGCGGAGGAAUUCGGGGGAACCUGCAAACCCACCGACGGAAGAAAUUAUUAUGCCGCGUAAGUCCUGGCCGUCGAAUCCUUGAGAUGUAUAAAGCAACAACGGCGAGAAAUGGUGCUUGCAUUUGUGAGAAGAGGAUUCAACUGUGGAGUGCCUUUUCUUCCUUGUGCCAGGAACUCCAUUCGUGCAUAGGUGGCAGUUCUGACAGGAGGUUCCUGAUUAAUAGAAGUUGCGCAGCCUAAUAUUAUCGCAAAGUUAGCGAAUCGAAGGGUCGAUAGGAGAACUAAGGCAACGACAGCAGAAUCGAGAAUGGUCGAGGACGAUCAGGAAAACACCGAGAGACUCGCGGACGAGUGUCGAUCCAAUAAUUCCACGGACCCCGAGGGGAUGUAGAAGAGCUCUCGAGCGACAUCGUUCGGCCAUUGUGGUGGAUGUGUUCUCGCGGAACCGGAAGCUCGACCCCUGCGGUAAGAUUUGUACGAUACUUCAGCCUGGUCUUCGGCUCUAAGUGUACUUCCUUGUAUACCGCGGGGCUGAGCUGACGGCAUCAAGUCGUUCGCGUGAACACUUCCAGCCACGCUGCGCGAGCACACAUACCGAAGCUCGGCGAUGCUUGAAUUAUUUUGGUGGUUGACCCGCCAUGAAAUAUUCAGCAUACUCUGUGCGUGACGCAUUGCGUGAAUUAUAGGUUAAUUGCCCUUCAGUGCUAAAGUUCAAGAAUUCUAACGUGGUUACUGUAAUGUUCCUCACACAAUCCAGAACGAAAUUGGAAUAAACAGAAGCUAUCGUAUAUAAAACAUUUUUGUCAUAAUAUGUUCUUAACGACUUAUUUCCUACA